CAGGACCCCUAUUCCCUCCCAACAAACAAGAGACACCUUCUGUAAAACUACUCUCCUAAUAGUUCUACUUACCUCCCUCUUCCUAUUGUGUUAUAUCCCAACUCUAGUCUUCUAUUUCCUGAACAGUUUAGAAACAUUAACUGAUUCCAAACUCUCGUUCAUUAGCAGUAUCCCCGGCCAGAAAUCGUUCAUCACCUUGUUUUCGAUCAAGUUCCUUAUCCCGACCCUGUACCCGGCACUAGGGCCAGCCCUGCAAUUCUGUGGAACGUACCGGCAGAGAGAGCGACAACGUCGAGCCACAUCAUUCUUCAUCAAGAUGAGACCCAGCAGGUUAAACAGUACAUUUGCCAUGUGGAGGAGAGCCACUAGAUCUACUCAGGUGAUGGGACAGUCCCUGACUAUGCCUGACGACCAGCAAAACAGUCCUCAGUUCACCCACACUCCCCUCUGAGAGGCACAUUAGCUCUGAGAUCCACUGAUCGACUGCUCAAUUUAAUUUCAGAGCGAGGAGAAUGGUACAAUAUGUGUCAUAUUAUGAAACUGGAACAGUGGUUUUCUGCUGGAGUGUAGCCAUGCUGGAAUAUGGGUUGUGUAAUUGAAA